rnacentral:rRNA from 1 species
UACGAAGGGGCUAGCGUUGCUCGGAAUUACUGGGCGUAAAGCGCACGUAGGCGGCUUCUAAGUCGGGGUGAAAUCCUGGAGCUCAACUCCAGAACUGCCUUCGAUACUGGAAAGCUCGAGUCCGGGAGAGGUGAGUGGAACUGCGAGUGUAGAGGUGAAAUUCGUAGAUAUUCGCAAGAACACCAGUGGCGAAGGCGGCUCACUGGCCCGGUACUGACGCUGAGGUGCGAAAGCGUGGGAGCAACAGG